rnacentral:rRNA from 1 species
GGCCUACCAUGGUGGUAACGGGUAACGGGGUGUUAGGGCACGACACCGGAGAGGGAGCCUGAGAAACGGCUACCACAUCCAAGGAUGGCAGCAGGCGUGCAAAUUACCCAAUCCCGACACAGGGAGGUAGUGACAAUAAAUAACAAUACGGGGUCCUUUCGGGUUUCGUAAUUGGAAUGAGUACAAUUUAAAUCUCUUAACGAGGAACAAUUGGAGGGCAAGUCUGGUGCCAGCAGCCGCGGUAAUUCCAGCUCCAAUAGCGUAUAUUAAAGUUGUUGCAGUUAAAAAGCUCGUAGUUGAAUUUCGGGAUUAGUGCGCCGGUCGUGCCUUCGGUAUGUACUGGUGUUACUGGUUCCUACCUUCUGACGAACCGUCAUGUCAUUAAUUUGGUGUGGCGGGGAAUCAGGACUGUUACUUUGAAAAAAUUAGAGUGUUUAAAGCAGGCUCGCGCUUGAAUACAUUAGCAUGGAAUAAUGAAAUAGGACGUUCGAUCCUAUUUUGUUGGUUUCUAGGAUUGACGUAAUGAUUAAUAGGGAUAGUUGGGGGCAUUAGUAUUCAAUUGUCAGAGGUGAAAUUCUUGGAUUUAUUGAAGACUAACUACUGCGAAAGCAUUUGCCAAGGAUGUUUUCAUUAAUCAAGAACGAAAGUUAGGGGAUCGAAGACGAUCAGAUACCGUCGUAGUCUUAACCAUAAACUAUGCCGACUAGGGAUCGGAUGAUGUUAUUUUUAAUGACUCAUUCGGCGCCUUACGGGAAACCAAAGUGUUUGGGUUC